rnacentral:rRNA from 1 species
AGAGUUUGAUCAUGGCUCAGGACGAACGCUGGCGGCGUGCCUAGUACAUGCAAGUCGAGCGAGCUUGCCUAGAUGAUUUUGGUGCUUGCACUAAAUGAAACUAGAUACAAGCGAGCGGCGGACGGGUGAGUAACACGUGGGUAACCUGCCCAAGAGACUGGGAUAACACCUGGAAACAGAUGCUAAUACCGGAUAACAACACUAGACGCAUGUCUAGAGUUUGAAAGAUGGUUCUGCUAUCACUCUUGGAUGGACCUGCGGUGCAUUAGCUAGUUGGUAAGGUAACGGCUUACCAAGGCAAUGAUGCAUAGCCGAGUUGAGAGACUGAUCGGCCACAUUGGGACUGAGACACGGCCCAAACUCCUACGGGAGGCAGCAGUAGGGAAUCUUCCACAAUGGACGAAAGUCUGAUGGAGCAACGCCGCGUGAGUGAAGAAGGGUUUCGGCUCGUAAAGCUCUGUUGGUAGUGAAGAAAGAUAGAGGUAGUAACUGGCCUUUAUUUGACGGUAAUUACUUAGAAAGUCACGGCUAACUACGUGCCAGCAGCCGCGGUAAUACGUAGGUGGCAAGCGUUGUCCGGAUUUAUUGGGCGUAAAGCGAGUGCAGGCGGUUCAAUAAGUCUGAUGUGAAAGCCUUCGGCUCAACCGGAGAAUCGCAUCAGAAACUGUUGAACUUGAGUGCAGAAGAGGAGAGUGGAACUCCAUGUGUAGCGGUGGAAUGCGUAGAUAUAUGGAAGAACACCAGUGGCGAAGGCGGCUCUCUGGUCUGCAACUGACGCUGAGGCUCGAAAGCAUGGGUAGCGAACAGGAUUAGAUACCCUGGUAGUCCAUGCCGUAAACGAUGAGUGCUAAGUGUUGGGAGGUUUCCGCCUCUCAGUGCUGCAGCU